rnacentral:rRNA from 2 species
AUCGAUGAAGAACGCAGCAAAGCGCGAUAGGUAGUGUGAAUUGCAGAAUUCCGCGAAUCAUCGAAUCUUUGAACGCAUAUUGCGCCCGAGCCUUCUGGCUUGGGCAUGUCUGCCUCAGCGUCG